rnacentral:lncRNA from 1 species
GGAACACUGAGUUUCAGGUUGGGGGUGGAGUAACCGCUUUGAAAUCAGAAGCAAAACUGGGGACGGCAGAGAGUUUCCUCAGGAGGUCUUACUUUGAGGAAGCUAUCUACUGCUACAAAAACUCAGAUGCUGUGGAUAAAAAAGUCUACAGGAGGGGACAUUUAUGAGAAGUGUCCACAGACAGUAUCAGUGUUACUACAGAGAAGUUGGCCUUCCUGACAGACACAGCUAUCCUCCGAAGCUGGGGAAAGGAGGCAGGUGAGCCUGGGGG